UGAAGGGUCUAGGCCCGAAACGUCAGCUUUUGUGCUCCUGAGAUGCUGCUUGGCCUGCUGUGUUCAUCCAGCCUCACAUUUUAUUAUCCUGUAAUGUAGAAGGUUUGUUUCCAGUUUUAUUGAGAACACUAUCCUUUCAGUAUCACAACGUUUAAGAAGGUUACCUUUGUUGAAAUUCCAGAUUUUUAAUGAGUUGAAAUUUGACAACAUGCCAUCAUGCAGUAAAACACCGUGUUUCCCACGAUUUCAGCCUGGGGCCCUAGAUUACUAGUCCAGUGACAUUAAUACGCAACCUCACUGUUCCUCUGACAGAGCAACAAGGCUAAAGCAAAAAGAUCUCUUUAUGGCCCCUGCAAUUAUGCUGUAGCAUAAUGGAAAGUAUAAAUAACCAUGAUCAAGAUAUUUUGUUGUUAACAUUACUGUGAAAAUAUUGCUCUUCACUUUAAUACAUACUACAGCAAUGCUAAAGAUUGCUUUCAUUGUUCAAUAGUAUAUAUAGUCUUACCUGAA